rnacentral:misc_RNA from 1 species
GUAUGCAGGAUUGGACAUAGCAGUAGCAGCCAACACUCCAACUGGAUCACCAGCACAAAAUUCACUUGGUAAAUUUGACCCACCGCUAGACCCAUAUUCGAACUGAAUAAUUGAGUUGCUGGAAACGUUCCUAACAGUCCCGUCAUAACAAAUGACUACAUCGCGGAGAAUGGCCAUCAAAUUCUUGAACAAUGUCCCAGGUUCUGUUAAUCCCCUGGUUGAGCGGACAAUCACUUCUCUACUGGAGAUCGAAUGAA